GGAGGAGACCAUCUGGGGAAGUUGAGUGGAAAGGGAGGUAAAAUAGAUAAUAAAAUCGUAAUAAAAUCUGUAAUGAAGGAGUUGGUGUGUGUGUCAGUGCCAUCCAUCAGCAAGCUCAAGGUUGCAUUGCACUCUGGAAUCUGGGACUGCGUGAAGAUGUUCUGCAGCCUUGGAACAAAGAGCCUGAAGGGAACGUUGGGAAGAUAAAAGAAUGCUUCCAGAGCAUGGGUGUGAGCAGCCAGCCAGGAUUUCCCAGAGCUAGGAGCUGGUGCAGAGCUUUGGUGCUUUGCAGCAGCUCAGGAAAUGCCACUGCCAGUGUUCAAAGGGAGUCAAACCAAACAUCUGCCACCGGUGGCUGUUGACCAGAGAGGGGAAAUCCUCCUUAUUCCAGAGACGAGAAGCUGAUUAAAAGCACUUGGUGCCCUGCUUUUACUGACAUGAGAAAGGGUAGAGUUUCUAUUUUUAGGAGCCUGCCCAAGACUACAAGCCUACAACAGAGCGAUGGAGGGGGAGCAACCUCUGAUGCAGGAACUGAGUUUAGAGGGUUUUGUGGGGGUCAGAGUGAAGGGAUGGGUGUUACAGUGCUGCCAUGGCUGGGAUGCUGCCCAAAAUCCCUAUGGUUCUUUCCUCUGUUUUGGUGCACAUUGCCCAAAUCCCUAAAUAUCUAACCUGUCAAAUAUUCAAAAAAAGCAGUUUAGGGGAAAACUUUGAAACACCUGUUCUUGAAAAGCAGUGGCUGUUACAAGUGGGCAAGUUAAGCAGGUGUGGUGGGAUAUUUUUAUCCUUUUUCCCUGAGUAGGAGGACUUAAGAACACUUUAGAAACAGAACCCAUGUUAGUUUAAGCUCAAAAAUUUAAAUAGCUCAGAAUUUUUCUAAAGGCAUGAGAGGCCAGAUCUUUAUAGGGUCCAAGCCCUUGUCUCACAUUUAAUUCCACAGAGGAGACUUUAAAACAGAAGCCAAGGACGUGUGAAUUGUCAAAGUGGGUGGUGGGGGCAUAUCCUCGAUGAUGGUGUGGCCUUUGGCAGUGGUUAUGUCUCACUACUGGUUAAAGCCUGAAGUAUUUUUAAUUCCAGCAGAUGUCAAAUCAGGAAGGGUGGUUGAAGCUGUUAUUACAUCUCAGCUUUUCUGGUGCUCCUGAGUCAGGGCUGGCAAGGCUUGAAGGAAUGACUCCUGCAAAUACCAGGCCUUUGUGGUUCUAAUCAGGCAUCCUCCUAUGAACACCUUCUCACUCCUCCUCUUGUAAAAAAAAAAAAAAAAAACCUUAAGAAAAUUGUUCUCUUUGCAUGCACCAUUAAAAUAAGUACACAAAUAAUCAUCUUAACAAGAUUUAUAUUUAUUCCUGGUAUAAAUUUCCCCACUAGAGGAGUUUGUUUAAAUCUCUUAAACAGACUGCAAAUGCUUUGUCCAGCAGAUUGAUGUGCUCUGUGAUCUUAGUCAGAUCUUAGUCAGAGGAUGACUUGGCUUUGUUUCCCUGAGAGCAAUAGAAACAUAUGGAAUAUGAUGGGAUGAAAAUUUUACAAAGGAACCUGAAGUCUCUGAGAACACCAUGAUUGCUAAUCCUUCCCAAGAUGCAAAGUUUAAAAAACAAUUAGAUGGAGGCACAAACUGUGCUAGCAAAUCCAAUUCCACGUGCACAGUUUUGUCUUAGCAAUUGCAAAUUGGACGGUGAGUUUAAUUCUCCCCCGUGGAAAAGGAGAAAGCACAAAAGCUCUGCCCCUCUAAAAUCCUGCUUGUCUCUGUGGUGCUCACAGAGGCCUCAUUAAUGAGGCAUUUAAGCGUGCUGCAAUCCUACCGCAGCCCAGGAGAGCAGCCUCAUUUUGCAGCACAACCUGGAGUACAGGAGCUGUGCUAACACUUGCCUUGGCUUGGCUGGCCUGGGAGCUGCAGCCUGCAGCAUCCCAAACCUCACACCUUAUGGGCAGGCUGUGCUGCAAACCCCAUCUGCUGCUGGGGAAGGUAACCAGGAUCCCUUGGAAGGAUCCUUCUGAGAGCCUUGGGCUGUUUUCUCUCACCUUCCCCAGUCACCAGGUGACUCUUACAGAGCUGACAGGUGGGGGACAGGCACAGCCCCUGUGCCUCUACCCAGGCAGACAGAAAUGUGCUCUGGCUGUGGGCUCUUACUCUUUCUCCAUAACUACUUCAUUCCCAUUUUAUGG